GGUCUGAGGAGCGCUCGUAGGAAGGAAUUUGACACGGCCGGGCAAACCCUACUCAAUUGGAGUAGGACUUGAGUUGGAAACUGCAGUCUCACUGCCUAUUAGUGGGAAAAACAUAUUUCUAGAGUGCUUCCGCCCGCCGCCAGCCAUGGGCUGGGACUACAAGUCCAGGCCGGCCGGAGUCCAGGAGUGGGGGCGGGGGAGGGCGGCGGUGGGAAGAGAGGCAUGCUGGGAACUGUAGUAGUGUCAUCUCCACGUUCGCCGCAGAUCAGAUUGGUCAGGCAAUUUGGUUAAAAUAGGAAAUGUCAGUGGUAGGCCCCUUUUCCCAGAUGAAUGUUUAGAAACACCAUGGAAUUUAGUGAUAAACUUGAACAAAACAGAAAUAACCACUUCCAGAUGUGCCCUUCCAAAUGUCUUCCUAUGCAUUUAUAUACAGAUACUGAGACUGCAUUGGAGAAAACAGACACAUGGAAUUUAUAACCUAACCAGGAGGAUAGACACUAAACAAAUAAUUAUGCAUCCUCUCUAGGCUCUGAUUCAGAACCUGGUGACUCAAAGCAGCAGGGAUGACGCAGAAUCCGUUCAGACCACGGCCCAGCAGUGAUGGCAGCUGCAUCCGGUUUCCAGUGGCAGCAGAGACAGCUGUUCUGGAGCAGUGUGCAGUGUCCAGCAUCUGAGGACUUGGCAGUGCAAGCCAUGCAGUCAUUCAGUGCUUGGCAGCUGUGGUGAUGACUUCACAGGACCAGCUCUGCAGAGUUCUUUGGGUGUGGUUCUUGCCCUGUGGUUUGUCUUCCCACCUUUACUUCUUAAAUUAGCUUAAAAGUUGAAUUAAUUUACUGGCAACAAGUGCUAAUGAUGUUAACAAUAACUAACUCUUAGAUAGAUAUUAACACUAACUAACUUUAGAUAGUACUUAUUAUGUGCCAAGCAAAUUUCAAAGUGUUUUAUGUAUAUUAAUUCAUUUAAUAUUUACAACAACCCUAUGACACAUAUACUGGUAUUAUUCCCAUUUUACAGAUGAUGAAACUGAGUUGCAGAGAGGAUAGGUUACGUGUUCAAUGUCACACGACUGUAAAUCGCGGCUCUGAAACUCAAACCCAGAUACAGUUCUAGGAGUGAAGUGCUUGGUCAAAGGGUAUUUUGAUUGCCUUCCAGAAAUAUCAUUCCAGUUUACACAUGCAGCAGUGUAUGGGAGCAUCCUGUUUCCCUGGGUCCUUAUUAGCACUGAAUAUUAUCAUUAAAUUUUUAAAACUUGUGGUACUGAAAAUGAUACAUAGUUUUCUUUUAAACCCAAAAUUCUUUAAACAUUUAAUAAUACAUUUAUUGGUAUUUGUUUAAAGUUCCUUUUGUGAAUUGACUGCCUUUGUCACCUAUGGGAUAAAGUUGAAACUUAGAAGGCAAUUCAAGGCCUUUUCUACUCUGACGGUAACUACUUUUCUAACUAAUUCUCUGAAACAUUCCCCCAACACACCAGUGGGGAUUAUUUUGUAUUAGUUGGAGCCAUAUGAAUGUGCUAUUUUUGUAGGCCAAAAAGUGGUUGACUGUUGACAGUUUUAUAUGGUUAAACCUUAUAAAUUUCCAAAACAUUUGCUCUCCCACUAGAGUGUUUUCACAAAUGUCCUUUGUCUUUCUCUGCUUGGUGAAAUCCUUCAUGUUCUUUAUGAGUCUGAGUUCACUGGUCACGUUCCCUAUUCCUUUGCCAUCCAUAUCCUGUCCUUUCACGCUGGCUGAGAUUACUGUAAAUCACCCCUCUUCAUUAUUUCCACUCUGCUCCUUUACUAUCAAAGCUGUAGAAUGGUCCCAGGGUAUUGCAGCUGGAUAAUAUGUUUGCAUCUGCCUGAGAGGCCAAGGCCUCUGCUGCUUUUUGCCAGCAGAGACUGUGUAUUAUUUAUUUUGGCAGCCACAAAGCUACCAAAGUUUGGGGCUCAUAGCAGAUGCACAACAAAUAUCUGUUGACUUGAAGAACGAGUAACAUUAGGGCCCAGGAAUUGCCUUACUAGCCACGUAUUAAUUGCAGUUUCCUUCCAUGCUAAGUAAGGAAGAGCAUGUGUAACACCCUCUAACAUCUUCUAAUAUGGUUGGUUGGUAUUGUGUAUGGAAUUGGUCCUCCUUAGUUUGAAUCCUCCAUCCUUAUAAUUUUUUUCCUAUAUUUUCAGGUGUGGUCAUUGUAUUGCAAAUCAAUGCAAUUAAUUUAUUCCACAGCACAAUUCUCAAGGAUGAAAUAACACAAUUCUCUUACUAGCUAAAUAAGUAAUCAGUGUACUUCCAAGGAAUAAAUUUUAUUUUUUCCCUUUUAACCAUAUUCACCUUUUUUCUUGGGUGAACUUUCAGGAACUUUUAGUGACUUCCAGGAAAUACUAAUGCUAAUGCUAAAGUUAUAAUAUUAUGACAAGAUUCAGGAAUCAUUAAAAGUAAAAAUGUUUUUAAAUAAACAUUAAAAAUCUUUAAACUGAAUCUUAUUAAGACAAAGUCUCUGUUUAUAAAAGAGAUACAUAGCACAGUCAAUUAAAAUUGCACUUACAGGGAGAAAAUCAUGGAAUCAUAGAACUUUAAAGGUAAAGAAUAUCCCCAACGUUCUCAGUGUGUACUCUUUGGUGGAAGAAUACCAAGUGAGAGUGGAGGAGAGAAGGUAGAGUUCAGCUUUGACUCCAUAUUCCCCCACUCAGUUAACUUUCAAGUGAUGUUUCAACCUUUUCUCAUCUUCUCACAUCUACAUGUCCUGCCCUCACCAUGGCUUGAAUAAGUUCAAGUAGAAACAGUGUCGGGAUUUCCCUGGUGGUCCAGUGGGUAAGACUUCGUGCUUCCAAUUCAGGGCGCCAGGGGUCGAUCCCUGGUCAGGGAACUAGAUCCCGCAUGCAUGUUGUAACUAAGAAGUCCACGUGCCAUAAC